rnacentral:tRNA from 1 species
GGAGAGAUGGCUGAGUGGUUGAAAGCACCGGUCUUGAAAACCGGGGAACGUUAAUAGCGUUCCGUGGGUUCAAAUCCCACUCUCUCCG